CCCCCCCUGGCCCCCACCCCUGAGCGGUGGGUGGGGGCCGGGGGGAGGACAGUAGGUCCCCCCCCUUAUUGUAUUAUUAGGGCCCCCACCCACCGCUCAGGGGUGGGGGCCAGGGGGGG